rnacentral:tRNA from 1 species
UGGGUAAUAGCUCAGUGGUAGAGCGUGUGCUUAGCAUGCACAAGGUCCUGGGUUCUAUCCCUAGUGCCUCCA